UACGUAGGGGGCUAGCGUUGUCCGGAUUUAUUGGGCGUAAAGAGCGUGUAGGCGGCCAUGUAGGUCCGGUGUGAAAACUCGAGGCUUAACCUCGAGAUGUCAUCGGAAACCAUUUGGCUAGAGUCCGGAAGAGGAGAGUGGAAUUCCUGGUGUAGCGGUGAAAUGCGCAGAUAUCAGGAGGAACACCGGUGGCGAAGGCGGGUCUCUGGGCCGAAAUUGACGCUGAGGAGCGAAAGCGUGGGGAGCAAACAGG
rnacentral:rRNA from 1 species